rnacentral:rRNA from 1 species
GACGAACGCUGGCGGCGUGCUUAACACAUGCAAGUCGAGCGGUAAGGCCCUUUCGGGGGCACACGAGCGGCGAACGGGUGAGUAACACGUGGGUGACCUGCCCUCAGCUCUGGGAUAAGCCCGGGAAACUGGGUCUAAUACUGGAUAUGACUCCACGGUGCAUGCCGCGGGGUGGAAAGCCUUGUGCGGCUGAGGAUGGGCCCGCGGCCUAUCAGCUUGUUGGUGGGGUGAUGGCCUACCAAGGCGACGACGGGUAGCCGGCCUGAGAGGGCGACCGGCCACACUGGGACUGAGACACGGCCCAGACUCCUACGGGAGGCAGCAGUGGGGAAUCUUGCGCAAUGGGCGAAAGCCUGACGCAGCGACGCCGCGUGAGGGAUGACGGCCU